CCUGAACCGGAAGUGACUGAUGGCUAGUUUUUGUGGCUUCUGGACCCUUUAUUGUGCGGGAAAAUGGAUGGUCCUUUGUCCUCAAGACUGUAGAAAAUAACUAAACACAAUGUAUUACUGACACCGGAGAACAGACACAACUACAUUCUUCACUAAAGAACUUUGAGAUUCCUAUCGGAGUAUUCCCAUUCCGUUUGGACUGAGGAUUCACAGAUUUUCCCA